rnacentral:misc_RNA from 1 species
UCCGGUUUGGCACCGGCAGUCUGACUAGAGUCCCCGACAUUACUCGCUGGCAACUAGUCACAAGGGUUGCGCUCGUUGAUGGACUUAACCAAACAUCUCACGACACGAGCUGACGACGGCCAUGCAACAUCUGUCACUUGGUUCAAUAAAGCACUCACUACUUUCGUAGUAAUUCCAAGGAUGUCAAACCCUGGUAAGGUUCUUCGUUUAGCAUCGAAUUAAAGAACCCGAUCCACCGCUUGUGCGGGUCCCCGUCAAUUCCUUUAUGUUUUAGUCUUGCGACCGUACUCCACAGGCGGGAUACUUAACGCGUUAGCUUCGCUACUGAAGGGGUCGAUACCUCCAACAGCUAGUAUCCAUAGUUUACGGCGUGGACUAC